rnacentral:tRNA from 1 species
GCGGUCGUAGUCUAGCUUGGUUAGGACAUCGGCUUCCCAAGCCGGUUACCCGGGUUCAAAUCCCGGCGACCGCA